UUCUUCCAUAGUGCCAGUGCCUUAACGCUUCCUGUCCUUCUAUAGUGCCAGUUCUUCCAUAGUGCCAGUGCCUUAACGCUUCCAGUCCUUCUAUAGUGUCAGUCCUUCCAUAGUGCAAGUGCCUUAAUGCUUCCAGUCCUUCCAUAGUGCCAGUUCUUCCAUAGUGCCAGUGCCUUAACGCUUCCAGUGUUUCUAUGGUGUCAGU